AGCGAACGCUGGCGGCAGGCCUAACACAUGCAAGUCGAACGAACUCUUCGGAGUUAGUGGCGGACGGGUGAGUAACACGUGGGAACGUGCCUUUUGGUUCGGAAUAACUCAGGGAAACUUGUGCUAAUACCGAAUGUGCCCUUCGGGGGAAAGAUUUAUCGCCAUUAGAGCGGCCCGCGUCUGAUUAGCUAGGUGGUGAGGUAACGGCUCACCAAGGCGACGAUCAGUAGCUGGUCUGAGAGGAUGACCAGCCACACUGGGACUGAGACACGGCCCAGACUCCUACGGGAAGCAGCAGUGGGGAAUCUUGCGCAAUGGGCGAAAGCCUGACGCAGCCAUGCCGCGUGAAUGAUGAAGGUCUUAGGAUUGUAAAAUUCUUUCACCGGGGACGAUAAUGACGGUACCCGGAGAAGAAGCCCCGGCUAACUUCGUG
rnacentral:rRNA from 1 species